rnacentral:rRNA from 1 species
AUUGAACGCUGGCGGCAGGCUUAACACAUGCAAGUCGAGCGGGGUGAUGGUGCUUGCACUAUCACUUAGCGGCGGACGGGUGAGUAAUGCUUAGGAAUCUGCCUAUUAGUGGGGGACAACAUCUCGAAAGGGAUGCUAAUACCGCAUACGUCCUACGGGAGAAAGCAGGGGAUCACUUGUGACCUUGCGCUAAUAGAUGAGCCUAAGUCGGAUUAGCUAGUUGGUGGGGUAAAGGCCUACCAAGGCGACGAUCUGUAGCGGGUCUGAGAGGAUGAUCCGCCACACUGGGACUGAGACACGGCCCAGACUCCUACGGGAGGCAGCAGUGGGGAAUAUUGGAUAAUGGGGGGAACCCUGAUCCAGCCAUACCGCGUGUGUGAAGAAGGCCUUAUGGUUGUAAAGCACUUUAAGCGAGGAGGAGGCUCUUUUGGUUAAUACCCAAGAUGAGUGGACGUUACUCGCAGAAUAAGCACCGGCUAACUCUGUGCCAGCCGCCGCGGUAA